rnacentral:lncRNA from 1 species
AAGCUCGGGCUUCAGAAGGAACUCUGCAACGCUGACAGAGGCAAAAAUCUGCUAACUCAGGGGGCAGACUCAACCAAGACUGUGAGCAGGCCUGGGGAAUGACCCCCCGAUCUCCAACCAGUGCCUUCCGCAGCUGCACGGCUGUCUCCAGCUGUCUCUGCCCCUCUUCCUGGCCCUGGCUCCAUCUCUCUGUCACCUCACCCUUCCCUGUGCCACAUGGGCCCUCUCUCUCCUGCCAGGACGCUGCGGCUCUGGGGACCUCGGAGCCUGGGGGUGGCUCUGGGAGUCUUCAUGACCAUUGGCUUUGCACUCCAGCUCUUGGGAGGGCCCUUCCAGAGGAGGCUACCUGGGCUACAGCUCCGACAGCCCUCGGCCCCAUCCCUACGACCAGCCCUUCCGUCCUGCCCACCCCGGCAGCGACUGGUGUUCCUGAAGACACAUAAAUCCGGGAGCAGCUCUGUGCUGAGCCUGCUUCACCGCUAUGGGGACCAGCACGGGCUGCGCUUCGCCCUCCCUGCCCGCUACCAGUUUGGCUACCCAAAGCUCUU